rnacentral:rRNA from 1 species
AUAAUCAAUUGUUUUUUAAUUGGAAACUGGAAUGAAAGAGUGGAUGAAAUAUAAGUUGUCUCAAAAUAAUAAUAUUGAAUUUAAAUUAUGAGUAAAAAUGCUUUUAUGAAUUUAUUAGACGAGAAGACCCUAUAGAAUUUAAUAAAAUUUAUUUAUUAAUGAUUUUUUAUUUUAUAUAGGUUAAUAAAUAUUUAUAUUUUAUUGGGAGGAUAUUUAAAUUAAUUAAACUUUAAGGAUUAAAUAACAUAGAUUAAUGAAUUAAUGAUUAUUAUUAUAAUUAAUAGAAUAAAUUACCUUA